CUUACUCCCGCGCCCCCGACGACCCCUGGUCACAUUCCUCCCCGGCUCCGGCCUCGGGAUUCCAGGCGCUGCUCCGGCCUCUCCUUCCCAACCCGGGCCCCGGCCCUGAGCGGUCCGGCCGCCUGCGGCUCCGCACCCGACUCCUCACAGCAGGCGCCGCGCCGCCUCCCGACGCCUCACAGGUUCUCCUUUUCCCUUCCCAUCCCGCGGCUCCGCGCCCCCAAUGCUGCCGCUACUGCCGCUGCCGCCAUCUUUAAACCACCGAGCACUGGGAGAGCGUGGGACAGAGCGUCUCCUGCCCGCAACCCGACCAGUCAUCUCCGCUACUCAGAGGGCGGGCUUCCCGGCGGCCCCGCCCCGCCCCGCCCCUCCCGCGCGCCCCCGCCUCCUCUCAGGGUGGGGCCACCCCCGCCACCACCCCAGGUACCCACCUCUUUGGCACGUCUACAGCUGCUUCAGGUCUUUCUGUUCCUUCGCGGCGGCUCGGCCUCCCACGUCCGAAUCCGCCUUAGCCGACCCCUCCCAAGUUCGGUUCAACGCGCUUACCGCCUUUUGGGGGGUCGGUAGGUUUAAAGGUUUCCCUGUCACCCCCCCACCUGUCAAAUCAAUCNNNNNNNCUGAGCGCCCCAGGUGCACAGUUCCUUAGCCGACUCAGCUGGGACGGAAAAGCACAAGAAGUUUGGUGCUUGCCAUCCAGGUGAGGCUGUCUAAAAUACCCUGGAGGAUUCCUUUAAACACCCGUGUCAGCAGCAGACAUACAGUCAAAAUUAAAUGAUAUACGGUUUACGUGAACAUAAUAAAGUACAUUAUUUCAUUGUAAUUUUUUGAAAUUAUUUCAUGGUGGGAAAUUGCACUCACCUUGGUUGUCUGUACUUUACAAUCUCAUUGGGGAAGCAGUUAUAACCCGAUUCCUCCUCUUAUGUUAUCAUGAAGUCCUCUUGAACUUCUUUACCAUCUGACCACGUAUGUGUUUCUGUUACCCUUACUUCGCUUGUCAGUAAAGCUAAUCUUCACACCGGCAUGCUUUAUAUACAGUGCACGCGGUCAAGUCUUUUGAUGACAAAGGAGAAAAAUAAAAUUACCUUUGACCCUGUUUCUGAGUCAGAACUUACUUAUAUUUUGCCUGUAUUAUCUAAAGAGAGUGACUCAGGCAGAAAAGAGAAAUGUUUUUAAAGCGCAGGCACGCAGACAUACAUUUGUAUAUUCACUUAUCUCCCCCUCACUGCACACUCUUGCAUCUUAAUAUUCAGUUUUUUACAUUUUAAAGAACUUGAUAAUUAUUUUUAGGCAUUCAAUUAGCUUCCCUAUGUCCUUUAUUAAAAGUAUCAGUUAUUGGAGUUACUUUACUAAAAAUUUGCUUGAAAGCAGAGUAUAGGUGCCAUUGCAAAAACCAACAAAACAACCAUUGGGAAGAUAAGGUCCAGGAGAAAAGGUGGAUGAGCUCUUCUUUGCACAUCUUUCCAAGGACAGGAUGAAAGAUGAACCAUUAAUAUUCACUACAAUAAAAGCUCUAUGAAAUUAUUCCAUUGCCAUCCAGGAUAUCACCAGAAAUAACUGAAAUUGCCCACCAAAUGGCAAAAGAAACACUGUGCUUUUGCACUGGAUACAAUAUGAGUUUUUCAUUUGGAUCAAAGUUUUCCUGUGUUUAAAUACUUUUUUUCCUUUUAAUUCCCAAAGUGUUUGCAAAACAAAAAAAAAGAAAUCACUGAUAAGGGAU
ensembl:lncRNA